UACGGAGGGUGCAAGCGUUAUCCGGAUUCACUGGGUUUAAAGGGUGCGUAGGUGGGCAAGUAAGUCAGUGGUGAAAUCUCCGGGCUUAACCCGGAAACUGCCAUUGAUACUAUUUGUCUUGAAUACUGUGGAGGUCAGCGGAAUAUGUCAUGUAGCGGUGAAAUGCUUAGAUAUGACAUAGAACACCAAUUGCGAAGGCAGCUCGUUACACGAAGAUUGACUCUGAGGCACGAAAGCGUGGGGAUCAAACAGG
rnacentral:rRNA from 1 species